rnacentral:lncRNA from 1 species
GGUUGUUUUUGGUCUUUUACAUUAGCAUUUAUUACUAUCGGUUUAAUUUUUUUUUAAACCUCAAGACUGUGCUUUUUACAUAACAAAAUGUUUAUGAUCAUUCAUCAUUGUGGAAAAAUACCCAAUUACUCUCGUGCCACAGCAGAGCACAACUCUAAACAGUCCAUUAGACUCGAUCUGCAGCGCUGCAGUUCACAAACUCACCACAGGAGGGCGACACACUGAAGUUCACUACAACGUCAGAACACUUCAAACAGUCCCUCCUGUGGUGAGUUUGUGAAUUACAGCACUGCAAAUACACAGAGCUUGUAUACAUAUGUAUAGUAACUUCGGCUUAGACUGGAUAAAACAUGGUCACAGCAUCUGUGGGAUUUAAACACGCUUCUGUUGAAGCUUCAUGAUUUAAAGUCUCGCAUGUGAUCUUAGCACUAAAACACGAACAGUAGAAUGAUAAAAACUAAAGUGCAGUUUUCCUCCGCUCCACUGGGCGGCGCAAGCGGGGUUCAGCUUCGGCUGCUGAAGACGCUCGAGUCACAACAACACGCGCAGAUCCUGCAGAUGACAGCUGUUUAUAUCGCUUCAACAACACAUAUUUCAGCUCAGCUGCAACUAAAAUCCACACAAAAUCCGAUGAAACGCUGGACCCGACUCACCUAGUAAGGGAUGUGCUGUGGAUUGUAAAGCAGCGCUCUGGGACGUGUGGACAGACAGUGACUGUAAUGAUGCUCAUCUGCUCGUGGACAGGUGAUGUAUCUCAUGUGUGAAUGUGUUCUAGUGC